AAGGAUCAUUAACGAAUAACUAUGGUGUCUUGGUUGUAGCUGGCUCCUCGGAGCAUUGUGCACGCCCGCCAUUUUUAUCUUUCCACCUGUGCACCGACUGUAGGUCUGGAUACCUCUCGCCCUUCACGGGGCGGAUGCGAGGAUUGCUCGUAAGGGCUCUCCUCGAAUUUCCAGGCUCUACGUCUUUUUACACACCCCAAUAGUAUGAUGUAGAAUGUAGUCAAUGGGCUUCUUAGCCUAUAAAACACUAUACAACUUUCAGCAACGGAUCUCUUGGCUCUC
rnacentral:misc_RNA from 1 species